rnacentral:rRNA from 1 species
GGUAAAAAAGCUCGUAGUUGGAUUUCUGUUGAGGGUGACCGGUCCACUCCAUGAGUGCGUAUCUGGUUCAACCUCGGCAUCCUCUCGUGAGACGUUUCUGCGCUUCAUUGCGUGGAGCGGAUUUCGGGACUUUUACUUUGAGGAAAUUAGAGUGUUCACGGCAGGCUAUCGCCCGAAUACAUUAGCAUGGAAUAAUACUAUAGGAUCUCGAUUCUAUUUUGUUGGUUUCUAGGAUUGAGAUAAUGAUUAAUAGGGACAAUUGGGGGCAUUCGUAUCAACACGUCAGAGGUGGAAUUCUUGGAUUGUGUUGCGACGAACUACUGCGAAAGCAUUUGCCAAGGAUGUUUUCAUUGAUCAAGAACGAAAGUAAGGGGAUCGAAGACGAUUAGAUACCGUCGUAGUCUUUACCAUAAACUAUGCCAACUAGAGAUGGGGCAUCGUUCAUUCACGACUUGCUCCGCACCUUAUGAGAUAUCAAAGUCUUUGGGUUCCGGGGGGAGUAUGGUCGCAAGGCUGAAACUUAAAGGAAUUGACGGAAGGGCACCACCAGGAGUGGAGCCUGCGGCUUAAUUUGACUCAACACGGGGAAACUCACCAGGUCCAGACAUAAUAAGGAUUGACAGAUUGAUAGCUCUUUCUUGAUUUUAUGGGUGGUGGUGCAUGGCCGUUCUUAGUUCGUGGAGUGAUUUGUCUGCUUAAUUGCGU